UCUGGUUGAUCCUGCCAGAGGCUAUUGCUAUCAGGGUUUGACUAAGCCAUGCGAGUCGAGAGGUGUCAAGACCUCGGCGUACUGCUCAGUAACACGUGGAUAAUCUGCCCUCAGGAGAGGAAUAAUCCCGGGAAACUGGGGCUAAUGCCUCAUAGGAGACGGGUGCUGGAAUGCUCUGUCUCCAAAAGGUCCGCCGCCUGAGGAUGAGUCUGCGGCCGAUUAGGUUGUUGUUGGGGUAACGGCCCAACAAGCCCGUGAUCGGUACGGGUUGUGGGAGCAAGAGCCCGGAGAUGGAUUCUGAGACAUGAAUCCAGGCCCUACGGGGCGCAGCAGGCGCGAAAACUUUACAAUGCGAGCAAUCGUGAUAAGGAAACCCUGAGUGCCUGUCAAUGCAGGCUGUUCUGGUGUUUAGCACGCACCAGGAGAAAGGGCGGGGCAAGACCGGUGCCAGCCGCCGCGGUAAUACCGGCUGCUCGAGUGAUAGCCGCUUUUACUGGGCUUAAAGCGUUCGUAGCUUGGUCGUUAAGUCUCUGGGGAAAUCUUCUGGCUUAACCAGAAGGCGUCUCAGUGAAACUAGCGACCUAGGAACCGGGAGAGGUGAGACGUACUUCGGGGGUAGGAGUGAAAUCUUGUAAUCCUCGAGGGACGACCGAUGGCGAAGGCAUCUCACCAGAACGGCUUCGACAGUGAGGGACGAAAGCUGGGGGAGCAAACCGGAUUAGAUACCCGGGUAGUCCCAGCCGUAAACGAUGUGCGUUAGGUGUGUCGGUGACCACGAGUCGCCGAGGUGCCGAAGGGAAACCGUGAAACGCACCGCCUGGGAAGUACGGUCGCAAGGCUGAAACUUAAAGGAAUUGGCGGGGGAGCACCACAACGGGUGGAGCCUGCGGUUUAAUUGGAUUCAACGCCGGACAACUCACCGGAUACGACAGCGGAAUGAUAGCCGGGCUGAAGACUCUGCUUGACCAGCUGAGAGGAGGUGCAUGGCCGUCGUCAGUUCGUACUGUGAAGCAUCCUGUUAAGUCAGGCAACGAGCGAGACCCACGCCAACAGUUGCCAGCAUGGUCUUUGGACUGAUGGGGACACUGUUGGGACCGCCUCUGCUAAAGAGGAGGAAGGAAUGGGCAACGGUAGGUCAGCAUGCCCCGAAUUAUCCGGGCUACACGCGGGCUACAUUGGAUGGGACAAUGGGUCUCGACACCGAAAGGUGAAGGUAAUCUCCUAACCCCACCCCUGGUUCGGAUUGCGGGCUGCAACUCGCCCGCAUGAAGCUGGAAUCCGUAGUAAUCGCGUCUCACGAUGGCGCGGUGAAUAUGUCCCUGCUCCUUGCACACACCGCCCGUCAAACCACCCGAGUGGGGUCUGGAUGAGGCUGCAGUAUCUGCUGUGGUCGAAUCUAGGUUCGCAAGGGGGGUUAAGUCGUAACAAGGUAGCCGUAGGGGAAUCUGCGGCUG
rnacentral:rRNA from 1 species